rnacentral:rRNA from 1 species
AGUGAACGCUGGCGGCAGGCCUAACACAUGCAAGUCGAACGGCAGCACGGCAGUAGCAAUACUGUGGGUGGCGAGUGGCGGACGGGUGAGGAAUACAUCGGGAUCUACCCUGUUGUGGGGGAUAACGUAGGGAAACUUACGCUAAUACCGCAUAAGAACUGAGGUUGAAAGCGGCGGACCGCAAGGCGUCGCGCGAUUGGAUGAACCGAUGUCCGAUUAGCUAGUUGGCGGGGUAAAGGCCCACCAAGGCGACGAUCGGUAGCUGGUCUGAGAGGACGACCAGCCACACUGGAACUGAGACACGGUCCAGACUCCUACGGGAGGCAGCAGUGGGGAAUAUUGGACAAUGGGCGCAAGCCUGAUCCAGCCAUGCCGCGUGGGUGAAGAAGGCCUUCGGGUUGUAAAGACCCUUUGUUCCGGAAGAAAAGACAUCGGUUAAUACCCGGUGUUCUGACGGUACCGGAAGAAUAAG